CGCAUGUGUGGAAACCUCGGGUAUCAGAGGACCAUCGCUAGUCAGCACGUUUGGUAGUAUCUCUGACUGCUGUUGAUCUUGUUUUUGGAGUAAAACACGGUGGAAGCUGAAUUAGUGAGGAUGACUCCUGCUCCUGUCAUCUCUAAGCUCCUCACACAUCUUUACCUGCACAUGAGGAAAAUCACUCCUGCAGAAUGCAGAUGUUCAGAGGGAGAUGAUGCCACAUCUGGUCCAGCUGAUGGAAGGUCUUGAAGUUCUCUGACUGGCCUCGACUGAAGAUGGUCGUCUCACUGGAUUUAAGAUGCACAAUGAGGGACGUCUGCAGAGACUGAGAAAGAGUCUCACCACAUCCUGACAUGAGGAAAAAGACUUUAUUGAAGACUACAAUGAGAAAAACUAUCAGACACCAGACGGCUGCAUUCAAGGUGAGCUCUGAACAUUUGAUCUGGAACAGGAAUUCAAUAACGGCAGCAUGAGCUUCAUUUCAGUCUGUAGCUGCUGAAUUCAUGGAUGAAUCAUCUGGCACUAGAGAGGAAGACCAUCAAACAUCCACAUCAGCUGAUGAAGGUCCAAGAGUCUCACCGAACAAACAACCUACAGAGUGAAGACCUCAAAUCUGAUUGGACGGCCUCCUAUUCAGCCACGUGUGAACAAAUGCCUCUAAGCUGAUUUGUUUUCUAAAAUAAAUCUAGUUUGAGUCCUAAUCUAUGCCUGUGUGUUUGCUUCUUUACACCGCUGUUAACAGUUUAGGCUGUUAGAUCGUUCCAGAUAAGACAAGUACAAGAUUCUUCAGAGCCGUUCUACCACGAGCCUGACAGGAAGAACUCCAACAGCUACUGAAUGUUCCUGUGGUUCCCUCAAGGCUACAGGAGGAGCCCUACGAGGACGAGCCGGUCCACCUGAUGGAGGCCAGUUGCUGCGGUUCAAAGCCAACACCGACUACGUGGACUUCUACUGGACCACACGGAGGCCUUCAAACCGGACCAACAAGUUCACCGACUCCCCGACUCGUGGGUCUGAGGACGCCGCCGAGCCUCGGCCCAGCCGGCCUCCUGUCUGUGGGUGUUUGAGUGCUGAGAGGUUUGUGGAUGCAUGUGAACGUGUCUGUGUUGAAACAGCAGCUUUGGACUCACUAACGCCAGGGAAAAACCAAGAGCUCCUUUAUUUGUGACUUCCACUAAAAAACUGAUGAAAAUAAGUUUGCCAGGGUUCUGAGUGAUAACAGAUUAUUAAAUAAUGAAAAUAAUUGUUAAAAUAUUCCUUUAAACAAUCCUUUUAGGUCUACAUUUCCUUUACACUGACUUCUUGGUAUAUGCACAAGUAUUUUGGGUGAAAUAUACCAUUAAGCCUAAUGUUCAACAGUUUUUCUGGGAAUAUACCAUUAAACCAACCUUUUAGGUAAAUGUUCCAGGAUGUUGGGUAGAAUAUACCAUCAGAUCAACCUUUUAGGUCUAUAUUGGAAGAUUUUAGAGUAGAAUAUUACUCCAAACCAUCCUUUAGGUCUAUAUUUAAGGUGGAAUACUCCUUUACACCAAGAUUUUUUUGGUCUCGGAUUUUGGAUGGAAUACUCGGUUAAACCAACAUUUUAGGUGCAUGUCCGAGGAUUUUUGGUGGAAUGUUCCUUUAAGGUGGAUGUUUGAGGACCUUGUAGGUGGAAUACUUCCUGAAACCAACCUUUUAGGUCAACAUUCAAAGGUUGAAGGUGGUAUAUUCCUUUAAACCAACCUAAAUUUCAUGUUUUUGAUCAUUAUCAAGUGAGAAACCUCAAUCCAGACUCCUCAUAAUGACGCUGGAGAUUUAUGCUGCUAUUAUUUGUUUAGUCCAGACUAAAUGACAGAAAUCCACAACUGUAAUUUUAUUUCAGGACUUGAUUAUUAAAUGUCAAAACAAUCCAUGUGAUUCUAAAAAGUCAACAGCUUUACAAACUCUAAGAUUAAACUCUCCACAAGGAUCCAAAAUAAGUUGGACUUCUACAUGAGAGCUUUAAUUAUUCUUCAUCUACUUCCUGAAAAGUUUGGUCAAUAAAAAAGACAAAAACUAAUAUUUUCAGCUGAACUAAAGACAGACUUUGUGAUUUUUCUGCUCACAUGUUGUGUUGUUGUAAACUUCCUCUUUCAAAUAAAUAUCCUCCUAACCCCCUGGAAA